UACAGAGGGUGCAAGCGUUGUUCGGAAUCAUUGGGCGUAAAGGGCAGGUAGGUGGUUUUAUAAGUCUACUGUGAAAUCCCUGGGCUUAACCCAGGAAGUGCGGUGGAUACUGUAGAACUGGAGUGCUGGAGGGGUCCGUGGAAUUCUCGGUGUAGCGGUGAAAUGCGUAGAUAUCGAGAGGAAUACCAGAGGCGAAGGCGACGGACUGGACGGCAACUGACACUCAACUGCGAAAGCGUGGGGGAGCAAACAGG
rnacentral:rRNA from 1 species